rnacentral:rRNA from 1 species
UUUGUAGCAAUACGGAGCCUAGAGUAGCGUAAGGGUGCGUAACACGUAUGCAAUCUGCCCACAACAGGAGGAUAGCUCUUCGAAAGAGGAAUUAACACUCCAUAAAACCACGUGAGGGCAUCUGAGGGUGGUUAAACUACAAGGGGUUGUGGAUGAGCAUGCGCAUGAUUAGUUAGUUGGCGGGGUAACGGCCCACCAAGACGAUGAUCAUUAGGGGAACUGAGAGGUUGGUCCCCCACACUGGCACUGAGAUACGGGCCAGACUCCUACGGGAGGCAGCAGUAGGGAAUAUUGGACAAUGGGUGGGAGCCUGAUCCAGCCAUGCCGCGUGCAGGAAGAAAGCCUUCUGGGUUGUAAACUGCUUUUUUCAGGGGAUAAAAUACUCGUGCGCGAGGAAUUGCAAGUACCUGGAGAAUAAGCCACGGCUAACUACGUGCCAGCAGCCGCGGUAAUACGUAGGUGGCGAGCGUUGUCCGGAUUUAUUGGGUUUAAAGGG